UACAGAGGGUGCAAGCGUUAUUCGGAAUCACUGGGCGUAAAGAGUUCGUAGGCGGUUUGUUAAGUCGAAUGUGAAAGCCCUGGGCUCAAUCCAGGAAGUGCAUUCGAUACUGGCAAGCUGGAGUGCAGGAGAGGAAGGCGGAAUUCCAGGUGUAGAGGUGAAAUUCGUAGAUAUCUGGAGGAACAACAGAGGCGAAGGCGGCCUUCUGGACUGUCACUGACGCUGAGGAACGAAAGCGUGGGGAGCAAACAGG
rnacentral:rRNA from 1 species